UCUAGUGAUGAUGGCAAAGAGGUCACACCCGUUCCCAUACCGAACACGGAAGUUAAGCUCUUUUGCGCCGAUGGUAGUUGGGGGAUUCCCCCUGCGAGAGUAGGACGUCGCUGGGC
rnacentral:rRNA from 1 species